rnacentral:rRNA from 1 species
UGAGCAAUCUGCCCUUCUCAUCGGAAUAAGCGUUGGAAACGACGUCUAAUGCCGAAUACGACCUCCUUUCGCAUGAUCGGAGGUGGAAAGCUCCGGCGGAGAAGGAUGAGCUCGCGGCCUAUCUGCUAGUUGGUGUGGGUAAUGGCCCACCAAGGCGACGACGGGUAGCCGGCCUGAGAGGGCGACCGGCCACACUGGGACUGAGACACGGCCCAGACUCCUACGGAAGCAG